rfam:Nomascus leucogenys chromosome X, whole genome shotgun sequence.
GGGAAACUUCAUGAGGGGCCAGCCCCAGGCCCCGUUCCAAACUGGGGCA